rnacentral:rRNA from 1 species
UACGUAGGGGGCAAGCGUUGUCCGGAUUUAUUGGGCGUAAAGAGCGUGUAGGCGGCCAGGUAGGUCUGCUGUGAAAACUCGAGGCUCAACCUCGAGACGUCGGCGGAAACCAUCUGGCUAGAGUCCGGAAGAGGAGAGUGGAAUUCCUGGUGUAGCGGUGAAAUGCGCAGAUAUCAGGAAGAACACCCGUGGCGAAGGCGGCUCUCUGGACCGAUAUUGACGCUGAGGAGCGAAAGCCAGGGGAGCAAACGGG